CAAUAAGCUAAAUAAGAGCGUAUGGGGAAUGCCUAGGCUCUCAGAGGCGAUGAAGGACGUGAUAAGCUGCGAAAAGCUACGGGGAUUGGCACAUACAAAUUGAUCCGUAGAUAUCCGAAUGGGGCAACCCACUAUAUUGAAGAUAUAGUAUCCUGUAAAGGAGGCGAACCCGGAGAACUGAAACAUCUAAGUACCCGGAGGAGAAGAAAACAAAAGUGAUUCCGAUAGUAGCGGCGAGCGAAAUUGGAUUAGCCCAAACCAGUAUUGUUACGGCAAUGCUGGGGUUGUAGGACCACGAUAUUCGAGUCAAGAUGAAUUAGAACAGUUUGGAAAGACUGACCAAAGAGGGUGAUAGUCCCGUAUAAGUAAAGAAUGAUAAGAUAGUGGUAUCCUGAGUAGUGCGGGGCACGUGUAACCCUGUGUGAAUCAGUCGGGACCAUCCGAUAAGGCUAAAUACUCCUGAGAGACCGAUAGUGAACUAGUACCGUGAGGGAAAGGUGAAAAGAACCCUGAAUAAGGGAGUGAAAUAGAACCUGAAACCAUACGCUUACAAGCGGUCGGAGCAGACUUGAUCUGUGACGGCGUGCCUUUUGCAUAAUGAGCCUACGAGUUACCGUUGCUAGCAAGGUUAAGGACUUCAGGUCCGGAUCCGUAGCGAAAGCGAGUCUGAAUAGGGCGCUUUAGUUAGUAGUGGUAGACGCGAAACCGUGUGAUCUACCCAUGGGCAGGGUGAAGCUGUAGUAACAUACAGUGGAGGCCCGAACCGAUAUACGUUGAAAAGUGUUCGGAUGACCUGUGGGUAGGGGUGAAAGGCCAAUCAAACUCGGAAAUAGCUCGUACUCCCCGAAAUGCAUUUAGGUGCAGCGUUGAUUUAUAGUUUUAUAGAGGUAGAGCUACUGAUUGGAUGCGGGGGCUUCACCGCCUACCAAUUCCUGACAAACUCCGAA
rnacentral:rRNA from 1 species